AAGCCUGUAGCCCAACGGGAGAGGCAAUAGUUUCAGAAACUAUGUAGUAACAGUUCGAAUCUGUUCAGGC
rnacentral:tRNA from 1 species